GAGGGUAUAGCUCAAGUGGUAGAGUGCAUGCUUAGCAUGCACAAGGUCCUGGGUUCAAUCUCAGUACCUCCA
rnacentral:tRNA from 1 species